AACAAUCGGUACUGCGGCGCUGAUCUU
rnacentral:sRNA from 1 species